rnacentral:rRNA from 1 species
GGGUCAGUAGGUUGGUCGUGCCACCGGUACGUACUGGUCUCACUGAUUCCUCCUUCCUGAAGAACCGUAAUGCCAUUAAUUUGUUGUUGCGGGGAAACAGGACUGUUACUUUGAAAAAAUUAGUGUGUUUAAAGCAAGCUAACGCUUGAAUACAUUAGCAUGGAAUAAUGAAAUAGGACGAUCGAUCCUAUUUUGUUGGUUUCUAGGAUUGUCGUA